ensembl:lncRNA
GGUUUUUCAUCUGAAAAGAUCCGAGUCUAGAGCAUGUUCCUGGCCAUCAAAUGCUGCCCUUUUUUGGAAGGAGAGGAUGAAACCAAUUUUCAGAGUCGGCAAAGAGGAGAACCUGGCAGUCCCGGUGGAGAUCCAGCCCUGAACCCAGCCAGCUCUGAGGCCCGGCCUUUCCUCCACUGGGCUCCAGGAGCUAAUAGAGCCCCUUUUUGGAUGAAGCAAGUUCAAGCUGAGUUUCCAUCACUUGCAACUUAAGGAGUUCUGAGGGGUGUCAUAUUGCCAUCCCAAUUUUACUGAGAGAGGAACUGAUGCUCAGAGAAGUUAGCUAAGUCCUGUGUGAUCACAAGAACACUUUAGAGCACAAGCUUUGGAACCUGAGUCUGCGUGGACUCCAUAGCCAGCGUUCUUUUCUUUAUACCAUUUGCCUCUCAACUAGUCCCACAACCGGGGCGCUCAAGAGAAGAGGCUGGACCGUGGGAGGACCACGAGAUCACGGCAGAUGUUAGUGGUCUGUGAGCAAAUGUGAGACACCAACUGGGAAACCAGGAACAAGAAGGACAGGCAGCUAGUGUGGUGAAAAAUAGUCAUUGCUAUCGGUUACUCAGUCGUCAUGUACACAGCCCUGUCCUAAGCUCUUAAUUAUGCUAACCCAUGUAAUCCCCACCUCCACCCUAUACAACAG